rnacentral:rRNA from 1 species
CCUACGGGAGGCAGCAGUGGGGAAUAUUGGGCAAUGGGCGCAAGCCUGACCCAGCAACGCCGCGUGAAGGAAGAAGGCUUUCGGGUUGUAAACUUCUUUUCUGAGGGACGAAGAAAGUGACGGUACCUCAGGACUAAGCCACGGCUAACUACGUGCCAGCAGCCGCGGUAAGACGUAGGUGGCAGUCGUUAUCCGGAUUUAUUGGGUGUAAAGGGGGUGUAGGGGGGAAAGCAAGUCAGAUGUGAAAACUCAGGGCUCAACCCUGGGCCUGCAUUUGAAACUGUUUUUCUUGAGUGCUGGAGAGGCAAUCGGAAUUCCGGGUGUAGCGGUGAAAUGCGUAGAUAUACGGAGGAACACCAGUGGCGAAGGCGGAUUGCUGGACAGUAACCGACGCUGAGGCGCGAAAGCGUGGGGAGCAAACAGGAUUAGAUACCCUGGUAGUC